rnacentral:misc_RNA from 1 species
GCAUUGUGGUGCUUAGCUUCUUUCAUCUCUGUGGUGGUCUACUUACUCCUCCUCAUUGGAACAGUAUAUCCUAAUGGAUGCGGCCUAUGGUUUUCCCUUUAAGCUUUAACAGCUAAUCUUUUAUCUAAAGUUAAAAGAAGAAUAUUUAGCAUAAUAUUCUCAGGCAGACUAGUGGUCUUAUUGUUACUAAAGCUGAGGCUGUUGAAAUUCUACAUUGAAAGCUGUAUCUAGUUAUUGACAUGCUAGAUUUAAGUUUUCCAAGGCGUCAAGGCCUGUUUCAUGCAUCUUGCAUUUCAGAAAUGCUAAGCUUAAGUUUUCCAAUGCUUCAGGCCUGUUUCAUGACUGGCAUUUUUCAGGACCUUUCAAAAACAGGAUGGAAGUAGUUGAUGCCAUUAGCUAGUAGCAUAGCAGAUGAGUGCUUAUGUCCUAGUGCAAGACGCUUGUAUUAGUUCAGUUAUAGGAAAAAUAUUAUAUGGAGACACCUGUGUUUUAUCUCUUUUUGUCUUAUAUAUCAUAUAAUGCAAGUCAAGUGUUCUGCAAAAUACUAGUUACAUAUUGCUCUGAGUCUCUGAAUGCCUGUGGCAUGUGCUAACUGCUAUGUAAGUUCCUCCUUGCUGCAGUAUAUGUAAGCCAGCUUAAAUUGCUUGGAUGGUGCUUCAUGUUUGCUUCCUGCGUGCAUCUUAUUUUAUUGGACUGUGUCAAGUUAUGAUUUGUCUUGCUGGU